rnacentral:rRNA from 1 species
GCUAAACGCGAAGAACCUUACCUGGUCUUGACAUCCUAGGAAUCCUGCAGAGAUGCGGGAGUGCCUUCGGGAACCUGGAGACAGGUGCUGCAUGGCUGUCGCCAGCUCGUGUCGUGAGAUGUUGGGUUAAUCCGCACGAGCGCAACCUACCCUUAGUUGCCAGCAUUCAGUUGGGAACUCUAAGGGACCGCCAGUGACAAACCGGAGGAAGGUGGGGAUGACGUCAAGUCCUCAUGGCCCUUAUGGGUAGGGCUUCACACGUCAUACAAUGGACGGUACAGAGGGUUGCCAACCCGCGAGGGGGAGCCAAUCCCAGAAAGCCGUUCGUAGUCCGGAUCGCAGUCUGCAACUCGACUGCGUGAAGUCGGAAUCGCUAGUAAUCGCGGAUCAGCAUGCCGCGGUGAAUACGUUCCCGGGUC